rnacentral:rRNA from 1 species
GUCCCUAUCUGCCGUGGGCGCUGGAGAAUUGAGGGGGGCUGCUCCUAGUACGAGAGGACCGGAGUGGACGCAUCACUGGUGUUCGGGUUGUCAUGCCAAUGGCACUGCCCGGUAGCUAAAUGCGGAAGAGAUAAGUGCUGAAAGCAUCUAAGCACGAAACUUGCCCCGAGAUGAGUUCUCCCUGAGACUUUAAGUCUCCUGAAGGAACGUUGAAGACGACGACGUUGAUAGGUCGGGUGUGUAAGCGCAGCGAUGCGUUGAGCUAACCGAUACUAAUGAACCGUGAGGCUUAAUCUUACAACGCCGAAG